ACUUUGUAGCUCAUUUGGUAGAGCAGUCGAUAACUUAUCGAUUGGUAGCAGGUUCGAUUCCUGCCAAAGUCC
rnacentral:tRNA from 1 species